UCUUAGCACUAAGGGGCAUAAUAUUUGAGAAGAAAUGAAAUCGAAACGGCACAACCUGCAGCUCUGUGGGCAAAGCGAAAAACAUUUCAGGAAGCAAAGCGCUCCUAAGAGAAUUCAGGCUUUUAUUAGAAUGCUUGAAGCUGUUCUUGGUUGCCAAAGGAGCAAGAAGCAGAAAACGUUCAACUACUGAGGUCUUGAAACCAGUUGCAAGGAUAAAAUGGGAUACCAUCUCUCUGUUCAUCACCCCAAGAGUGGGAUGUACGUGUGAAAAAUGAAAUAAAUCAGUGAUUCGGGCUUCCUAGAAAUUUUAGGAUUGGAAAAUGUUCCAAUUUCUGAAAAGUUUUUAUUUAUUUCAUUUCUAUACCAACCAAUAGCUGAAGCUCUCUUUCCCAAUAGCCCAAAGUUUUUGAACUGAAAUAAAUGAUUAAGAAAUAAAUCAAGCACUCUUAAUGUGGCUUAAAAGUUAAAUUCAAACAAA